UAACAAGGUUUCCGUAGGUGAACCUGCGGAAGGAUCAUUAAUGAAUUUAAAAAGUUGUAGCUGGCUUUUCGGAGCAUGUGCACACUUUUUCAUCUUCAACUUCUACCCCUGUGAACCUUUUGUAGGCUGGUGAUUUGAAAGAAUCUCAGUCUAUGUUUUUUUACACACACCCCAUGAAGUUCUGAAUGUCAUAAUGUGGGUUUGCCUUAAAAAAGCAAACUCCUUAAAAUUAAUACAACUUUCAACAACGGAUCUCUUGGCUCUCGCAUCGAUGAAGAACGCAGCGAAAUGCGAUAAGUAAUGUGAAUUGCAGAAUUCAGUGAAUCAUCGAAUCUUUGAACGCACCUUGCGCCCCUUGGUAUUCCGAGGGGCAUGCCUGUUUGAGUGUCAUUAAAUUCUCAACUUUCCUGGUUUCUCAUAAACCAUGGCAAAGCUUGGAUUUGGAGUGUGCCGGCAUCCCUCGGNAGUGGGCUCCUCUUUAAAUGUAUUAGUGAACCUCUGGGGAUCAGCUUGGCAUGAUAAUUAUCUACNCUGCUGUCAUAUGCAUU
rnacentral:rRNA from 1 species